AUAAGCUCAAGAGGAGGAUCUAGAUGCUUUCAGUUUUAACUAUUCACCAAUAGUGGAAAAGGCAGAAUGUCUAAGCUAUGGCUUGGUGACCAAUAGGGUAGCUGUGUAUCUCUCACAUGACUCACUGCCCCUGUCUUUCACAUGGGCUGUAAUUUAGUUCAAUUCAGAACUGCAGAUAGUACGGCUUCCACAGGAGCAAGGGAUGCCUGAGCAGAAGUGGCUGAGUUCCUAGUGACUUUACGAAGGACUUCUCCGCCUUCCUGCGGCACGAAAACAGGGAUUCUGCACCUGCACUGGGGACGGGCUGGUAAAAGCCUCUGCUCUGCCUCCGGGGACCAGGAACUACAGCAAAUAACCAUGUUGAAAUUGGAUCUUGGCAAAAUGACCAACAAAUUCAUGAAGGAAGCUGAAGGCAAUUUGAAUAAUGGUUCUACCGAAAUUGAAGAAACAUGGAUAUCUCCAAAGGAUAGUAGAGAGCUUGGUUAGUUGUACCCUAAAAUUAGGAUGUGAUUAAGAAUUUCCAGGGCUGUCUACUGUCUACUGUGUAAAGUACAUUGAGUGUUUCCCCGAAGCUGCACUAUUCAAAGAAAAAAAAAAAAAAGCUAAACACACAGCAACAACAACAAAAACUUUCUCAAGUGGUCAGACAAACUGGAACUAUUGGAUUAUAGGUAAGAGGAAUAAAAUGAAAGGUUGAAAGCUAUAAUUUCUGCCUCUGUGGUGGUAACUGAAUCAGCUGUCAGGCAAUUAAAAAUAUGGCAAGUUGAGUUCAGAGACUGGAAGAGGACACUUCCCAGCUGCAGCCGGUCAGGCCCUGGCUCGGAAGACACGCAGUUAUUACAUGUUGGACCCCUCUCUCAGGCGAAUUCUUCUCUCCUCCUACCUGUGUCCCUAUUUUCCAUGAACAUUAUCACUGGCUUUGACAAUUUCUUAUUUUACUUUCCUCCUUCUCAUUCCCUUAUCUUUAAAACAAACAAAACAUAGUAGUUGUGUGGCCUCUGGUGAUCCAUGGUUGGCACCCCUAGAAACAAAGAGGGAGUUUGGGAAGGAGAUCCUGCAUUUCAGUGUCCCCUUCAAUCCACCAGAGGCUAGUUUGCUUUGGAACAUGUAGAUUUCUGGAAAAAGCCCCUCCUCUAGAGGAACAUCUGUACACAUAUACAUAUCAGGCAGCCACUUUCGUAAAUGUGCUAAUUUGAAAUGUGGAUUUUAAGGAUGUUACUAUUAAACAAAAUGACAAAAUGGCUUGCAUACUCACUAUGAGUUUGGGAGACUCAAUUCAUAAUUGAGCCUUAUCCUUUUAAUUUAACUGGAAUUAACAGAAUUUUAGAGGUGAUAGAAACUUGGAACUGUCAUAGUCACAUGAAGAUGAAGAAAUCUAACAAGCAAUUUGUCUUAAAGUCAUUUAACUUAUGUGUAAGUGCCAUUAGGGUAAUUAUAGUUUUGCAUUCAUUUAGACAAAGAAAAUAUUUUCUCAAAAAAUAUAUUUGAGAAAUAUUUUCUCAGAAACACAUCUGGGAAAUUUUUAAGGAGAAAUCUAAGUUUAUCUGUAUCUACCAUCCAACGUAAGCAAUAAUAUGUAUUAAACUGUCUGAGCAUAUUACUUAUAAUAUAACUUACUUCAAUUGUCAAUGUAUUUUCUGACUUCUAUAUAUAUCUGA
rnacentral:lncRNA from 1 species